UGCCCAGCAACUCCUAUCCCUACCUCCUCGUGGUACCGGCCGGAAACUACGAAACCUUAGGGAAGAUCGAGUAAUUAACUCCGGUGGGAACUUUUGUCGUAGGCUGACAGGGAAGG
rnacentral:ribozyme from 1 species